rnacentral:rRNA from 1 species
GACGAACGCUGGCGGCGUGGAUUAGGCAUGCAAGUCGGACGGUAGGACUUUAUCGUAAGAUAGAGUUUGAGAGUGGCGAACGGGUGAGUAAUACGUAGGAAUCUACCCUUAAGACGGGGACAACCCAGGGAAACUUGGGCUAAUACCGGAUGCGAGUGUAUGAGAGUACAUUUAAAAGGAUGGUGAAAGCUAUCGCUUAGGGAUGAGCCUGCGGUCUAUUAGCUAGUUGGUGGGGUAAGAGCUCACCGAGGCGAUGAUAGAUAGGCGGCCUUAACGGGUGGUCGCCCACACUGGGAUUGAGAUACGGCCCAGACUCCUACGGGAGGCAGCAGUCGAGAAUAGUCUACAAUGGCCGGAAGGCUGAUAGUGCGAACGCCACGUGAACGAGGGGAGCCCCUUCGGGGUGUAAAGUUCUUUUCUAUACGAGCAGUGCUAUAUAUAUUUCAAAGUAUAAUAUAGAGGGAUAGUAGUAUAGGAAUAAGCAAACGGCUAAACUCCGUGCCAGCACCGGCGUAAAACG